ACAAUUAGCAGAGUGGUUCAUCACGUCUCCUUUACAAAUCCCCUUUGAGGGAUUUCAAUACUGCGGAGAAGGUCGUGGGUUCGAUCCCCACAGGAA